rnacentral:lncRNA from 1 species
GUACUUUUCUCCGUCACAGCUAAAAAUGAAGCCGCCCUUCUGAUUGGUCCGGAGGAUCGCGGGAUAAUUUAGACCUCUUUGAAAAUUAUAAGGGAGCGGGAAAGGUUGUGAGGGUCACACUUAUUUCGGCUUUAAAAACUCGUAACCAUGACUUUUUAAGUUUCAAUAUGUUUUUCUAUCAAUGUUUGACUGUGACUGAAAAUCAUUUGUAAGUUAAAAAUAUAUAUUUCAUAUACUAACAACUUUCAUCUCGACUCGUCCCGUUUUAAAGGUAUAACCGUGUUAAAUUACGUUCUGUACGUCAAAAAAGCAGAAAUUGGAGAGUAAUGGUAACUAUUUUCAAUUAUAUGACUUUCAAGGUUAGUUUGAUAGGUGAUGUAGGUCUUUAUACAGGUUCCAUCAUGGAAUGCAUGAAAUGUACUUUUUUUUAACAGCGCGCCUGUCCGUGUACUUUUCUACGUCACAGCAAAUCUUCAAGAUGGCUGCCUUUCCACCACCUUCUGUAUUUUCUCUAUAAUUUUAGCCCUGUCUGAAGUAUGUGUUUUGAGCCCCGUCUGAUGCAUGUGUUUCAGGGGUGGCCGAUGAAGUGGAAGCGUGGCAGGGGGCGGUGAUGUCGACGCUGAGUCAGCGACUGGCCGAGGACUCGCGGCUCCUCCAACUGGCCAAGUCCACGACGCCGCGGGACUCGAGGACGCGCCAAGGGAAUGGACUCGUCAAGCCGCCGCGAAAGAAGACGACCCCAUCCAAACCCAGGCCUCGGGCAAGUCUAACCCGACGACCCCGGCCAAGUCGGCCAAGAGGGUCGUCUCCAUCGAGGAGCUCGUCCGCAACGACCCGAGCUACACCCCGCGCAUCGAGCACCUCGUCUUCGCCGCGUCUCCACCCGCACCCGCGCCCGGCGCCAACGCCAACGCCAAGAAGACGGAGAACAAGCGGCUCGCCGCCCCUCAGAAGAAGGAGCGGGUCUGGAGCUCCGUCGAGGAUACCCGGGCUCCGGAUCCGCCCUGCACCUGCGACCCCGCCAAAAUUCGGAGACGAGUCAAGGGGGCCUAACGUGUCGGUGCUGCACCUGCGAAGCACCUCGGAGCCGUGGGAAUCCUGCUUCCCGCGCAACCCGGCCCCGUCGCGGAACUCGCGGCUCUCGCAGAUGAACAGCGCGUGCACGGUCCCAUCGGCGACGCUCCUCAAGAACGCCAUGGCCACGAGCAACCUCGCGCGUCGAAAGUCCGCCGGCCUCUUCGCCUCGGGCGUCGGCGAGGCCAAAGAAAACGGCUGCUCCCGCGAGCUGUCCCCGGUCCGCUGGUGCGACCAGGAGGUCGACGGCGUCUUCCUCGGCCGUUCCGGCUGGGUCCAAGUCCAACAGAAGUCCCUCGACAGGACCCCGCAGAAACCCCAAGAACCCCCCACGCCGCCCUCCAGAAACCUCACCCACUCCCACUCCCUCCGCUACCCCUUGGACUCAACCCCCGACCCUCUGGAGAUCCUCAACAGGCCCGGCUACCAGUUCACCUCCAGCCAGAGGGUCAUGCAGGUGUCGCAGCUCAAGACCUCCAAGUCGGAAGACAGCAACGCCAUCAUCUCCCCGCCGCCGGCGUUCCAGGAUCACAACCAGCGUUUCGACACCGUCAACCGCCCGAAGACGCUCGCCUCCCGCUCUUUCAACUUCACGAGGAGCGACGCCGUGGAGGGUAGCCCACCCGCGUCGCCUCCCUUUCACAGGAGCUGGAGCGCCUCGCCGCACACCCCGCAAGGACCGCGCCGGAGGUUGACGCCCUCUCCAGGAGCGAAGAUCCCCCACACUAGGUCUUUCGACGACGCCACCAAGACCUCCAGCCGCCGCACCCAAUACCACAAGUACUCCUCGUCGUCCUCCUCGUCUUCGGCCGGGUUCAGGAGCUUCGACAGCACGCUCAACCGCACCAUGCCGAAGCUCUGCGAGACGGACUCGUCGGUCUACGACGAUGGCGACGAAGACGACAAUAAUAGUUCCUUGAAUCUAAGUGCACAUUCGACGAUGACGGUCAUCAACUCGUCGCCGGACUCGUGCGCCGAGACGAAGAAGCGAGAGAAGUACCGUCGGGCGAAGAAAGCCGAGAACUUCUGCACGUCGCCGUCGUCGUCGUCGUCGAGCGACUAUUCGCCGGCGUCCGCGGCGCCGUUCCGCCGCUCGGUGAGCCACAACUCCCACUACCUCAACUCCUCCAAGGACUCCCUGGUCUCGCACCAUUCCAGUGACUCCGUGUCGCGCAGCAACAAGGUGAAGCGGUCCCGGAGCCUCCAGCUCGCCGCCGACCGGGUCCCGCCCCCGGGGUUCCGGGGGCGGCCCCCGCCGUGCCGCCCCGCAACAGUGAGGACCCGCCCCGCGCCUGUCCCAGGCCGGCACCUAGAACCAUGGCCGACAACUAUAAGCAGAGGAUCUUGA